ensembl:lncRNA
GUUGUUGUUGGGUUUUUUUGUUUUGUUUUCUUUUAGUGAGACCUCUGCUAGAGUUUCUCUAUUCUAAGCCAUGACCCACCUUUUGUGAGCUUUAAGCUCAUAGGACCUUAUUUCAAAAUUACUUUUCAAAAGGAAGUUUGUUGGGAAAUGCUUUUAUUCAUACUUGACAUAUUGUGACAAUACAAUUUGCCGUGACUGAAUAGUUUUCUCGCAAAUCCUACAGAUGGAGACCCUGCCAAGCCUUUCAGCUAUCUACUUCCUGAGCAAUGAAGCCUGAGGUAAUGAGCUUUUAGAUUUAAACCGGAUUAGAUCUAAGACGAACGUGACCGUUGCUGUCUUGAAUCAGCCACAGGAGAGGUUCGUGGAACUAGGCCUAUUAAUAUCCCCUCAUGAGGAAAAGGUCCAUAUUCAGGAGCAAGUUGACCAGGACUCUUCCAUUAUUGAAGCUUCCCAUAAGUGACCCAAGGACUCCUCAGUGGUGUGGGUUCUUUGUGAAUCAUCCCUGCUACAGAAAAGAACAGGCUUCCCAAGGACAUCAAUUCAAAUGGCAUAAGACCAGGCACAUACCAUCACAUCAAGGCUGGAUCAAGGCAACCCAGUAGGAGGAAAGGGUUCCCACAAACAGGCAGAAGAGUCAAUGACAGCCCCAGCUGCCACAGGACAUCAAGCUAUUCAGCCAGAACAUAUAUGUACAGGACCUGGGUCACAUCCUGACAGGCUCUCUGAUCUCUUCCAGCCCCAGACCCCCAGAGCUCCACUUACAACCGGUUUGGCUGUAGGACUCUGCAUCUGUUCCCCAUCAGUUACUGGAUGAAGUCUCUCUGGUGUCUCUGAUGAUUUUUUUAGGUUCUGGUCCAGAACACUGUG